rnacentral:rRNA from 1 species
GGCGGACGGGUGAGUAACGCGUAGGAAUCUACCUUUCAGCGGGGGAUAGCUCGGGGAAACCCGAAUUAAUACCGCAUACACCCUAAGGGGGAAAGAGGGCCUAUCCUUGGAAGCUCUCGCUGUUAGAUGAGCCUGCGUGAGAUUAGUUUGUUGGUGGGGUAAUGGCCUACCAAGACUACGAUCUCUAGCUGGUCUGAGAGGACGAUCAGCCACACUGGGACUGAGACACGGCCCAGACUCCUACGGGAGGCAGCAGUAGGGAAUAUUGGACAAUGGGGGCAACCCUGAUCCAGCUAUGCCGCGUGUGUGAAGAAGGCUCUAGGGUUGUAAAGCACUUUAGGUAAGGACGAAAAGAAUAUAGUUAAUACCUAUAUUCCGUGACUUAACUUACAGAAUAAGGACCGGCUAACUCCGUGCCAGCAGCCGCGGUAAUACGGAGGGUCCAAGCGUUAAUCGGAAUUACUGGGCGUAAAGCGCGCGUAGGCGGUUUGUCAAGUUGGAUGUGAAAUCCCUGGGCUCAACCUAGGAACUGCAUUCAAAACUUAUAGACUAGAGUACGAUAGAGGAGAGUAGAAUUCCUGGUGUAGCGGUGAAAUGCGUAGAUAUCAGGAGGAAUACCAAUGGCGAAGGCAACUCUCUGGAUCGACACUGACGCUGAGGUGCGAAAGCGUGGGUAGCAAACAGGAUUAGAUACCCUGGUAGUCCACGCCGU